rnacentral:lncRNA from 1 species
UCUUAUAGUUUAAAUUUCUUCAGAGUAACACAAAAGGUUAGUCUUGUGUAGGCCCGUGAAAUCAUCAACAGAACUUCCUCUCUAAACUGCCCUUUCAGGUUGGAAUGCCAUGAAGAUACAGCUGAGUGUUAAUGGUGAUGUGCCAGGGACAUCUGAGGAAUCCUUGUCCUUUCCCUUUGUGACAUACACAUAAACAGACUCGUGCAGGUGUAUCCUGAACAGUGUUUGAGAUUCAGGGUCUUCGCAGCACACUUAUUGAAGAAUGACUGAGGCAUUGUGAUGGGAAGACAGCACUUCUCUGCCUUGCCUUUGCGCUCUGGAAAAUUGAGUCCAAGUUAGUUGUCUCUCUGCUCAGCCUUCUCAGUAAACAGUUCACUUCCAGCCUUCAUUAGAUGGGCUGCAGAAAGGGGGAUCAGAGAGCUCAACAGAGGCCUGGAGGUGGCUGAUGGAUAUCACUCGUGGAUGCAAAGGAGACCUUCACCAGGCUUAAGAGCUGCAAGCUGAACCAACCUCUAAAUGAGGCCAAAGUUCAUGGCCUAGAAAUGCCUCACUGCAGGCUUCCUGUAGAAGACUGUGGGAUGUGGCUCAAAUAUCAAGACAUGGACUGUGUCUACUGAACAAAGCUGGGAUGGCACGACAAGCUGGUAA